GGAGAGAUGGCUCAGUGGUUAAGAGCACUGGCUGCUCUUCCAGAGGAUCUGGGUUCAAUUCCCUGUACCUACA
rnacentral:tRNA from 1 species